GGGGGCCCCGGGAGGACUCAGCACCCGCCUCACCCCAACACCGGGCUCGCCUCUUCAGCUCAUAUAAGGUAAAAGGCAGAGGGGCGUCUGUGGCCAAGGAGCAACAGGCAAGGGGCUAAAGGGAGGGGGGCCCAGUGCCAGCCGUUUAAAAAUGCCCCGUGGCAGUGAGGGGUGCCAGAGGCCCGGUCAAGUUAGUUGAGAAGCAAUGACACCCCCAACAAUCCCCUAAAUGAGCUGACCCCCGUAUCCAGGCUGCAAGGAGCCACACCUGGACCAGACCCCAGGAGAGCCUCCUGGAGCUUCCCAAGAAGACAGAGGUUCCCCCCACUGGCUGGGCUCAGCGACAUUUCCUGAAGACAGUGAGGAGCAGGGAGGGGGAAUCGGCCCAUUCUCUGGGAGCAGCCCCCCAGACUGCCAACAGCCGGCACCAGGUAAGAAUCUGCCCUGUAAGAGUCUAAGGCCACCUGUUCAACCGUGUCCUUGGGCAGAGGGGAUAUGGAGCCGCGGAGAGCCGGGAGACGUGACCACAGCAGCUGGUGAUCAAAGUCGGGUCUCCCACAAGGCCCCCUGCCCCCCGGACUGGGGACCAGGAGUAGGAAGGAGCCUCUCGUGGGGCUACCGACCCCCUUCUCAUUCAGCGGAGACUAGGGGUCAGGGUCAGCUGUGUCUGCCUGCUGGGCAAGUAAGAAAGACUCAAGGGAAGAGUUCCCAGGGCCAGAGAGCCAAGAGGACACCCUUCCUGCCUCCGUGCCCCUCCUCCCAGCCUGCCACCUCCUCCUCCAGGAAGCCAUCCCAGCUUCCCAAAGGGGAGGGGGGGCGGCGGGGGAGGGCUCUCUGUCUUCUGAGACCUUGUCUCUCUCUUGUGUUGUGGCCCUCGGGUCUGCCCUCUAUUCACCUUGCCAGGGACAUUUCCCCUCUAUCUCAGCCUGACGGCGCUCCUCCAGGGCAGGGGCAGGGUCAGCUUCAGUGCCACGUCCCCUCUGCAGGCGGAAGAUGCCCUAGGUUUGCUGAAGGGUCAGGUGAAAUGGUUAGACCCUGUCCCGAACCCAAAGGAUUGGUAAAGUGGCCCAAGGAGGAGGAGGGGGGGAGGAGACAUUCAGCCUAG
rnacentral:lncRNA from 1 species